ensembl:lncRNA novel transcript
GUUACCGCAAAAGAAGCAAACAGACAAACUAAAGAGGUAUAACUCCUACUUGAAGAGUGUGAGAGAAUAUUUACUACUCGGAUGUUUGAGACAUACCAAAAAAUGCUUUUUGAUCCUUUAUCAAGAAGACGUAAUGACCAAGAUUGAUAAAGAAAAAUGCAAUGGUUACUUUACCUGCAACCAUCUCAAAGACGCUCUAAUGUCAUUUCAGAGGACUUCAGCCAUGAACUUGGUGAUGAGCCAGAGAAGGUAACUUUUCAUCCCCUACAAGACCUUAAAGAAGAAAGCCUUAAAAACCCUUGAGUGAAUGGUUGGUAUUUACAGACAAGCAAAUGUAUGGAAGAGAAACGAGAGACCCAGCCUGAAUCUGUUGAAUGAACGAAAGGGGAAAUGCCCUAAGGAGUCAGAUGGAAGAAGUUUUUCUGGGAAGAGCAGAACACAGGAGUUGGGGUGCAGACCUCCUGGAUCACCAGCAGAAGGAAAAGAGCAGUGAGACGUUAAAGUGAUUGAGACAAAAAUGGAAGUAAAACAGCUUAAGGCUUUCUGAGAUCGAGUUCCUGGCAGUGUCAUCAGCAGAUGGUUUCUUCUGAAGUUCAGGGGAAGAGAAGAUGCUCGAAGAACUCUCCAGGGACUGAGUGGGUGGUACAGAGCUAGUGCUGUAGAUGCCAUGUAUACAGGCAAAUUCCCCAAUGAGUGUUUUCCAAUAUCAAGUUUAACUGGCAUUUAAGAUAUAUGCCAAAGGUAGGUAAAUUAUUUUGGCCUGUGCUUAUAGGUUUAUUUCCCUGGAUGAAGCUUUCUGUCUCUGUCCUAGUGCACUGUAGCAGAUGCAGGGUCUUUCCAUACAAUACAUUAAAAGCUGCAUCUCAUUUUAAAUAUAUUAUAGAAACCCUGAUCAUACAAUACAUACAAGAUUUUUAAGAUCAGCCUUCAGUCGAUUUUUUUGCUUUAUUUUUGUUCUGGAGGUCAAAAUGAGUGGUUAACUGUCUAAGUUGAUUGCAGAGAAAGUUACUACUCAUUCUAAACGUAGGUUUUUAGAAAAGUGUUCUUGGCAGUUGCUACCAUUGGCUUUUUCCAACUUACAUGGGAAUCAAGAUUCAGAACUGGUACACCAAUGGGAAGAGCCUGGAAAAUAGACUAUUGAUCAAGAUGAAUCUGGUCCAGAUACUUUAAGACCUUUUCAGUGUGUUUUUAAGAUUAUAAGUUUGAACUAACAGAAACUUCAAUGCUGUUUUUUCACAAGUCAAUGUGUAGUGUA